rnacentral:rRNA from 1 species
AUACGGAGGGGGCUAGCGUUGUUCGGAAUUACUGGGCGUAAAGCGCGCGUAGGCGGAUAGUUAAGUCGGGGGUGAAAUCCCGGGGCUCAACCCCGGAACUGCCUCCGAUACUGGCCAUCUUGAGUUCGAGAGAGGUGAGUGGAAUUCCGAGUGUAGAGGUGAAAUUCGUAGAUAUUCGGAGGAACACCAGUGGCGAAGGCGGCUCACUGGCUCGAUACUGACGCUGAGGUGCGAAAGCGUGGGGAGCAAACAGGAUUAGAAACCCCGGUAGUCC